UAAAUGCACCCUCUAGAACCAU
rnacentral:miRNA from 1 species